CAAAGGCCUCAUUUGUACCGAAUGGAUUAUGAGAAGUUCAUUCUAUCCCAUAAAGAAGCUAAGGCUGAUAUUAUCGUUGGCGUUGCUACACUUUUGAUGGAUGAAAAGUGUAUAUAUAUAGCAUGUUACCUGCAUUGCUUUGGUUGCUUUUAUAUUGAUUUAUCUGCAAAUUUAAUAAAAGAUCUUUCUUCGUUUGGUCUAACGAAGAUUGAUGAAGAAUUAUAUAUGAUCUGAAUUUGCAGAGAACCAAUAUAGAAGCAAUCGAAAGCAACUCAGGUGGAUACUACUAUUUUAGGUCUGGACAACGACAUAGCUCAAGAGAACCUUUAAGACUUUGGUUGUGAAGUUAUUUCGGUGAAACUUCCGUUGGAAUGCGAGUAGGUAGAUUGUUCAAUUAUUAACAUUUACAAUUUUCAUGUCACACUCCAAAAUGUAUUACUUUUGGAGUAUCUGACAUGCAUUCGUCGUCAUUUUUAAACUUUGUGGGCAACAUUGAUUACAGGUCUUGGCUAGCUUCUUGUUUAAACUUUUUUUGUACUGAAUAUGUUUUUUGCUUAGUAUUAUUACUAGUAGAGGUAUUACUAGUCGGAGUUCAGGUGGAAGCUAAUUUAUUUGAUUACUACUGGAGGAUAUUGAUACAAUUGAAGCUUUAUACCGUGCCAAUUUGGGCAUUACGGAAAAGUCAGUAUCAAAUUAUAGCUACUACCAACUAAUAGUUUCUGCAUUUAAUUACGAUAGUCUGUUAUUGUGCUAUGGUUAUAGCACUAAUAUUAUUGACAUAAAUUUUCCUGAA